CUGUGAAACAAGAUACAGGCUAGCGGCGGACGGGUGAGUAACACGUGGGUAACCUGCCCAAGAGAUCGGGAUAACACCUGGAAACAGAUGCUAAUACCGGAUAACAACAGAUGAUGCCUAUCAACUGUUUAAAAGAUGGUUCUGCUAUCACUCUUGGAUGGACCUGCGGUGCAUUAGCUAGUUGGUAGGGUAACGGCCUACCAAGGCGAUGAUGCAUAGCCGAGUUGAGAGACUGAUCGGCCACAUUGGGGCUGAGACACGGCCCAAACUCCUACGGGAGGCAGCAGUAGGGAAUCUUCCACAAUGGACGCAAGUCUGAUGGAGCAACGCCGCGUGAGUGAAGAAGGGUUUCGGCUCGUAAAGCUCUGUUGUUGGUGAAGAAGGACAGGGGUAGUAACUGACCUUUGUUUGACGGU
rnacentral:rRNA from 1 species